AAUAUAAAUAGCUGCAGAUUUUUCUGUACUAAGGUAGCAUAAUCAUUAGCUUUAUAAUUAAAAGAUAGCAUGAAAGGUUAAACGAAAUAUUUUCUGUCUCUAAUAUUUACAACAAAAUUUAAAUAAAAGUAAAAAUUCUUUUAAAAUUAAGAAGGACGACAAGACCCUGAUAAACUUACACAUUUAGCUGGGGCGGCAAUACAAAAAAACCUUUAAAUAAAUUAAUAUAAAUAUAUCUAAUAAAAAUAAAACAAAAACUAGUUACUACAGGGAUAACAGCGCAAUCUUUUUCAAAAGAACUUAUAUAAAAAAAGCUUUACGACCUCGAUGUUGAAUUAAUUUUAUCUUUUAGGAGCAAAAUCCCUAAUAAGAAGGUC
rnacentral:rRNA from 1 species